GACGAACCGUGCGAACGUUGUUCGGAAUCACUGGGCUUAAAGGGUGCGUAGGCGGCGCGGAAAGUUGGGUGUGAAAUCCCUCGGCUCAACCGAGGAACUGCGCUCAAUACUACCGUGCUCGAGGGAGACAGAGGUGAGCGGAACUUAGGGUGGAGCGGUGAAAUGCGUUGAUAUCCUAAGGAACACCCGUGGCGAAAGCGGCUCACUGGGUCUCUUCUGACGCUGAGGCACGAAAGCUAGGGUAGCGAACGGG
rnacentral:rRNA from 1 species